AUUGAACGCUGGCGGAAUGCUUUACACAUGCAAGUCGAACGGCAGCACGGGGGCAGCCCUGGUGGCGAGUGGCGAACGGGUGAGUAAUACAUCGGAACGUGCCCGGUCGUGGGGGAUAACGUAGCGAAAGUUACGCUAAUACCGCAUACGAUCUGAGGAUGAAAGCGGGGGACCUUCGGGCCUCGCGCGAUCGGAGCAGCCGAUGUCAGAUUAGGUAGUUGGUGGGGUAAAGGCCUACCAAGCCGACGAUCGGUAGCUGGUCUGAGAGGACGACCAGCCACACUGGGACUGAGACACGGCCCAGACUCCUACGGGAGGCAGCAGUGGGGAAUUUUGGACAAUGGGCGCAAGCCUGAUCCAGCCAUGCCGCGUGCAGGACGAAGGCCUUCGGGUUGUAAACUGCUUUUGUACGGAACGAAAAGGCUCUGGCUAAUACCUGGGGGUCAUGACGGUACCGUAAGAAUAAGCACCGGCUAACUACGUG
rnacentral:rRNA from 1 species